UAUUAAAAAACAUUAAUAAUUCCAGAAACAAGUGACAUUAAUGUCAUCAUAAAUACUACCGUACCCAAUAAUCACGCAAUUACGUCGUGCCCAAUAAUACAUCAGUAAAAACCAAUCAAAUGUCUAGAGAACGUUAAAAGUCAAAUAUUAUUAGCAAGCUUGUACACAAGACACAAUGACUAAACAAUCAUGUAUUAUAAAUAGCUUGAGCCAAUUAUGUAAUGAAUGCUUAGCAAUAGGGAGCAAUAGAGAUGGAUAUCGCGUCACACGGAUGUUGAUUACAAGAUGUAUAUGGAUCAGGUACAUUCAUCUAUUACUGAAGAUCAAGGACACUUUUUAUCUAAGUACGACAUAUAGACUUCAUACAGGGCGUGGUCGUCGAGGCUGUAUAUAAGCUAAGAUCGAUCUGCAAGGAGUAUCACUUGUGACACAAAUCUCAAGUUACUUACAACCAUGUUCUUCAGACUGUUCGCCCUCUUCGCCGUGUUGGCCGUGGCUUUCGCCAACCCCAAGCCCGAGCCCCAGGUGCUGGCCUACACCGCCCCAGCUGUCGGCUACGGCUACUCCGCCUACGCUGCUGCUCCCGUAGCCUACUCCGCGCCUUACGCCGCCGCAGCUUACCCCUACGGCUACUCAGCGUACUACGUCCGUUAAAACCCACAACCAGACCGCUCAAAUGACUCCGACCAAAUGUUUGAACCCGUUUUAAUAUAAGUUUUAUUGCAAA